rnacentral:misc_RNA from 1 species
GGAACAGUAAAUUGAGAAGAAUUGUAUUAGGUGUUAAUCCAGAGGUCAACUCAAAACCAGUCAUAACAACACUUGAUCAAAUACGACAAUUUCAUCUAGGAUUGGUGGUUUUCUGUUUGGCCUUCUCUAUAAGAGGUCUCAGCUGCUUCUUUUCAGCUAGAAUUUUCAAAAAGUUGAACAGAAAUGGUAUAUAGUUGUGCUUCCGACGGAUAUUUUCAGUUUUCCAUUUCUUGAACUUCUCCUCCUCCCUCAAUAUCUUAUCACUAACAGCUUCAAUACCAGAAUUUACCUCUGCUAAGGAUUUAUUUAGUGAUUCCACUUGGCUGCUAUCCACCACUCUCUCCGACUGGGAUGCAGCCAGCUGCUGCAGAAUACGCUCCCUCCUCUUUUGAAGCUCCUUCAGCUCUGCAGUAUACACCUCUUUCCUGUUCUUUACUACAGCCAUCAGAUUGAAUCUUAUUUCACUUUGGGAAUACCUCUCAAUACGUUCCUGAAUAACUGGUUGCACCAUGCGCAACCACUCAAUAUCACCUUGUCCACCAGGGCAUGGUCCAAGACUGAUUGGUCCCUCCUUCAAUCCAUCAAGCUCAUACAACACACCGUCCACAGGUAUAUAGCUGAUAAAAUGAUACACAUCAUCAUCUUUGCCAGCAGCUUUCUGCUCCUCAGGCACAAAUGGCUCAGGUCUUGCAAAACUAUUAUGUGCUGUGCGAAUUGCUUCACUGUUAUUGAUAGCUAAACCUUUAAGCUCCGGUGGGAAAUUCUUUGUGAAUUCUUUUAGUGCAGAUAAUUCUGGGCCAAUAUCAACAUCUGGACUGUUCAGGAGGAUUGAAAGGAUUGCUUGGGUAGCACAAGCAUUGUUUAUCACCUGACUAGCAAAGAAUAGGUUUGGGUUUGGGUCCUUGAUCACAAGGCGAUCAUCUUUUUCACCAGGACGCCAUUUGAAAAGGAAUAUCAAACCGAACACAGGCCUAAGACUGUUGAGCUCAUCAAGAUCCAAAGAAUACAACUCCUCAACCUGCACACCUUUUACUUGCAUCUGCUGCAUAAGUUCGGUAAAAACCCCAGGAUCAGAUUCGAUAGUGCACCACGACAUGAUUGUUAAUUACCUGUUCAAAUAUCAAGUUUGUGCAAAAGGAAAGUUUUCACCUCAAAACCUCAUCAGCUGUGGCCUGUGGAUGUGUUGCUUCGAGGCGCGACUCGCGAACGAGAACUGAGCAGUGGCCAGUGAGAAGCGGCUUGCCUGAACUUAAGAGUCGAAUAGCUGAGAGAUGAGAGUUGAGGGACGAGCUGCGGCUUAACG